rnacentral:rRNA from 1 species
CAUGUGGCUUAAUUUGACUCAACGCGGGAAAUCUUACCGGGUCCGGACACACUGAGGAUUGACAGGCAAUAUCUCAUGUUAACGGUAAGUUUACUUACCGCUUAGCAUCGAGUGUUAAAUAUGCUAGUCCUUUCAUGAUUAUGUGAUAGGUGGUGCAUGGCCGUUCUUAGUUCGUGGAGUGAUCUGUCUGCUUAAUUGCGUUUCACUAAGGGCCCAUAAAUUCAAGGUAUGUUAGCUCUCGUCGCUCUAUGGACCCCUUAACUCCAAUAUUCUUAUUGUGUUAAGCGCGUGUCUUUAUUUUAAGAGUUUUAAGACACUGCGCAUGCUGUUGGGCUCUGAAAGCAACGAACGUGACCGCAACGUCUUGUUGCCUUAAACUAGCGUAUAUUGCAAUUUAUUGUAAUAUCGCUUACAGAGGCUAUUUAAAACUAGACGGACCGCUGU